rnacentral:rRNA from 1 species
AACCUGGUUGAUCCUGCCAGUAGUCAUAUGCUUGUCUCAAAGACUAAGCCAUGCAUGUCUAAGUAUAAGUAUUAUACAGCGAAACUGCGAAUGGCUCAUUAAAACAGUUAUAGUUUAUUUGAUAAUCGAAUUUACAUGGAUAACCGUGGUAAUUCUAGAGCUAAUACAUGCUGGUUUGCCCGACUUCGCGGAAGGGCGGUAUUUAUUAGAUAACAAGCCAAUAUUCCUCUGGUCUAUUGUGGUGACUCAUAAUAACUUAGUCGAAUCGCAAGGCCUAUGGCCGCGAUAAGUCAUUCAAGUUUCUGCCCCAUCAGCUUUCGAUGGUAGUGUAUUGGACUACCAUGGCGUUUACGGGUAACGGAGGAUUAGGGUUCGAUUCCGGAGAGGGAGCCUGAGAAACGGCUACCACAUCUAAGGAAGGCAGCAGGCGCGUAAAUUACCCAAUCCUGACUCAGGGAGGUAGUGACAAGAAAUAACGGACCGAGGUCUUUUGACUCCGGGAUUGCAAUGAGCCGAAUUUACACCCCUUAGCGAGUAUCAAUUGGAGGGCAAGUCUGGUGCCAGCAGCCGCGGUAAUUCCAGCUCCAAUAGC